rnacentral:rRNA from 1 species
GACGAACGCUGGCGGCGUGCCUAAUACAUGCAAGUCGAGCGGACGGAUGGGAGCUUGCUCCCAGACCGUCAGCGGCGGACGGGUGAGUAACACGUGGGCAACCUGCCUGUAAGACUGGGAUAACUCCGGGAAACCGGGGCUAAUACCGGAUAACUCUUUCCCUCACAUGAGGGAAAGCUGAAAGAUGGCAUCUCGCUAUCACUUACAGAUGGGCCCGCGGCGCAUUAGCUAGUUGGUGAGGUAACGGCUCACCAAGGCGACGAUGCGUAGCCGACCUGAGAGGGUGAUCGGCCACACUGGGACUGAGACACGGCCCAGACUCCUACGGGAGGCAGCAGUAGGGAAUCUUCCGCAAUGGACGAAAGUCUGACGGAGCAACGCCGCGUGAGUGAUGAAGGUUUUCGGAUCGUAAGACUCUGUUGUCAGGGAAGAACAAGUACCGGAGUAACUGCCGGUACCUUGACGGUACCUGACCAGUAAGCCACGGCUAACUACGUG